GAUGAACGCUGGCGGCGUGCUUAACACAUGCAAGUCGAGCGAUGAAGUUUCCUUCGGGAAACGGAUUAGCGGCGGACGGGUGAGUAACACGUGGGUAACCUGCCUCAUAGAGUGGAAUAGCCUUCCGAAAGGAAGAUUAAUACCGCAUAACGUUGAAAGAUGGCAUCAUCAUUCAACCAAAGGAGCAAUCCGCUAUGAGAUGGACCCGCGGCGCAUUAGCUAGUUGGUAGGGUAACGGCCUACCAAGGCGACGAUGCGUAGCCGACCUGAGAGGGUGAUCGGCCACAUUGGGACUGAGACACGGCCCAGACUCCUACGGGAGGCAGCAGUGGGGAAUAUUGCACAAUGGGGGAAACCCUGAUGCAGCAACGCCGCGUGAGUGAUGAAGGUUUUCGGAUCGUAAAGCUCUGUCUUUGGGGAAGAUAAUGACGGUACCCAAGGAGGAAGCCACGGCUAACUACGUGCCAGCAGCCGCAGUAAUAC
rnacentral:rRNA from 1 species